rnacentral:rRNA from 1 species
AUUGAACGCUGGCGGCAGGCCUAACACAUGCAAGUCGAGCGAGCGGCGGACGGGUGAGUAAUGUCUGGGAAACUGCCUGUUGGAGGGGGAUAACUACUGGAAACGGUAGCUAAUACGGCAUACCAUCAGAUGUGCCCAGAUGGGAUUGGCUAGUAGGUGGGGUAACGGCUCACCUAGGCGACGAUCCCUAGCUGGUCUGAGAGGAUGACCAGCCACACUGGAACUGAGACACGGCCCAGACUCCUACGGGAGGCAGCAGUGGGGAAUAUUGCACAAUGGGCGCAAGCCUGAUGCAGCCACGCCGCGUGUGUGAAGAAGGUCUUCGGGUUGUAAAGCACUUUUAGUGGGGAGGCGUUACCCGCAGAGGAAGCACCGGCUAACUCCGUGCCAGCAGCCGCGGUAAUAC